rnacentral:lncRNA from 1 species
GCGUGCAAUGUGCAUCAGCAGAAUAUAGAUAUACUGGCCAAUCUAAACUUGGGGUUUCUCAGUUUCUUUUGGAGUCGAUGUUCUACUUUAUACUGGCUGAAAUUAUAAAAUCUUGGAACAAGAAUUAUAAUCCUUUGAGAUUUCGAGAGCGCUGCCUUUAUGCCAGGCGGUAAUUGCGUGUUGUAUGGCUGCUGUUCUAGUGGACGAUAUAAUGUUUCAUUAUUUAAAAUCCCCAGUCUACGUAAAGAUGAGAGCGAAUAUACUGCAGCAAUAAAGCUUAAAGCCAGACAAGAAUGGAUCAACGUUAUAUUACAGAACAGAACACUAACACCUGAAUUGAAGGAACGCAUUGAGAAGAACAAAGUGUCUUUUUGUGAAUUACAUUUUAAACAUGACUGUAUUUUGGAAA